rnacentral:lncRNA from 1 species
AUGGCUGAUACGGAAACUAGCGACGGAUGCGAACAUCUGACCACCAAUCAAGUGACUCCUGUGCAGGUAACCGAGGGGACAGAUGGAGAGGCUGUGGAGGCCGUUUCAGAAGCAGCAACAUCGGUGGACGCUGGAGAAACGGAACACGUUCAUGAAUCUUCCCAUGAACUUUCCAAAGAGAGGGAAGAGGAUAAUGAUGCUGCUGCUGCUGCUGACAAAGAUAUGGAAAGUGAAGAAGCAGAACUUAAAGAAACUGAGACCGAGGUGAUCCACUCUGUUGGUUCUACAUCUCCAUCACAAGCUUUUUCUGCAGAGGAGACAGAGGAGACCGUUACGGUUAAUCAUGGUGAGCCAGGUAGCACCACAGAGCCCCAAAAAGAGGCUCCUGAGGUGAAAUCUGACGAGGGUCUUGAGGUGAUAUCUGAUGAAGGGGUUGAGUCAAAGGCAGAAGAUCUUGCAGUGAAAGAUGAGAGCCUAGAGGAAAGCCCUGCAGUAGCAGAUGUCAGUGAGGAUACAUGCAUGGACGCAGCUCCUGAUCAUGAGGAGGAGAACGAAAUAAAAAACACUGAUGAAAACAUGGACACAAGGAAUGACACUAAGGAGGAAGUCUGCACAGAGCAGGAGUCAUCCAUCGGCUGUAAACCAAAGGUUUUGACAGCGGGCGAUGAACUCGAUGAGAUGAUGGACAUCGGUACAGUGGAUCAGGUGGAGCAGGAAGCUCAGAUGAAAGAGGAGGAACAGAACAGCUUGAAGGAUAUGGAAAGCAGCCGCUCACCUGACGCUUCAAAUACAGCCUCAGUGGCGGAGGACAGUAACUCUGUUACAGAGGAAGCUGAUGUGAAACCCACAACUUCAGACUUGAUGCAGUCCAGCUCGUCUCCAUCGUCUGAGGCCACAGGAAGUACAGGAAGAGACAGCUCAUCACCAGCGAUGAUGUUGAACGGCAUGAAAGUCGUCAAGCUUUCUAUACCGAGAUUAGAUGUUGUAAGUAGAAGUAAGAUGGAAUUUGGGUUUCAGGCUUUUCGUACCUGCUCUAUUAAUAUGCGUGAAAGUUCAUCGAAAACUAUUGAUUAG